AAUUAUGGUGGCUCAGGCGGGGCCGACUUUUGUCGGGCCGGUUUCGUUUGGGCCGGUGUUGAGAACCCCGUCUGGGCUACCACCCCA
rnacentral:antisense_RNA from 1 species